rnacentral:rRNA from 1 species
AUACGGAGGAUCCGAGCGUUAUCCGGAUUUAUUGGGUUUAAAGGGAGCGUAGGCGGACGCUUAAGUCAGUUGUGAAAGUUUGCGGCUCAACCGUAAAAUUGCAGUUGAUACUGGGUGUCUUGAGUACAGUAGAGGCAGGCGGAAUUCGUGGUGUAGCGGUGAAAUGCUUAGAUAUCACGAAGAACUCCGAUUGCGAAGGCAGCCUGCUGGACUGUAACUGACGCUGAUGCUCGAAAGUGUGGGUAUCAAACAGGAUUAGAUACCCUGGUAGUCCACACAGUAAACGAUGAAUACUCGCUGUUUGCGAUAUACAGUAGGCGGCCAAGCGAAAGCGUUAAGUAUUCCACCUGGGGAGUACGCCGGCAACGGUGAAACUCAAAUGAAUUGACGGGG